rnacentral:rRNA from 1 species
UACGUAGGUGGCGAGCGUUAUCCGGAAUGAUUGGCGUAAAGGGUGCGUAGGCGGCCUGCUAAGUCUGGAGUGAAAGGUACCGGCUCAACCGGUACAGGCUCUGGAAACUGGCGGGCUAGAGAGCAGGAGAGGGCGGUGGAACUCCAUGUGUAGCGGUAAAAUGCGUAGAUAUAUGGAGGAACACCGGUGGCGAAAGCGGCUCUCUGGCCUGUAACUGACACUGAGGCUCGAAAGCGUGGGGAGCAAACAGG